AAAGGGAAGCCAGUGUGGUCCAGUGGGUAAGGUCCCGACUUCCACCCAGACAACCAGGGUUCAAAUCCCGGGAUCGGCACCAGGUGAUGGAUGAUGGCGCAGCAGAGGUAAGUUGGAGGUCGGCCUGCAUGGUAAGAAAAAUGUGUGUGUGCCGUGUAAGAGUGGAGUCAUGAAUGGUGAUUGCAGAGUGGUUGGUAAGUGACAUGGGUGUGGUGAGAGCAAGGGGCAGGAUCAGUGACAGGUGUUAAGUGAGUUGGAGUGGUGGAGUCAGGGGUAGGUGUAGGGGGAGUGCAGGGUUAGAUGGGUGGGGAGAGGGGGAGUGCAGGGUAGGAGAGUGGAGGAGCUUGGGACAGAGAGGAGGUGUGUCAGAGCAGAGGGUGGGGCUGUAUGUGUGCACAAGUGGGGUGGGUGGAGUCAGGGGAUAGGGGGAGGGGGAGUGCAGGCAUAAGCGGGUGGGAUACUAGGGACAAAGAAGGGGGUCAUAGAGGGAGGAGGAGCCUGGAGCAGAGUGGGGCCAGAUGUGGGCACUCAUGCAGUGGUUCUCUAGCCCACAGUAGGAUGUGGGGUACCCCAA
rnacentral:misc_RNA from 1 species